CUACGGGGUGCUCCAGUAAGGAAUAUUGCGCAAUGGAGGCAACUCUGACGCAGCCAUGCCGCGUGCAGGAAGAAGGCCUUAUGGGUCGUAAACUGCUUUUAUUUAGGAAUAAACCCUCGCUCGUGAGCGAGGCUGAAGGUACUGAAUGAAUAAGCACCGGCUAACUCCGUGCCAGCAGCCGCGGUAAUACGGAGGGUGCAAGCGUUAUCCGGAUUUAUUGGGUUUAAAGGGUGCGCAGGCGGGCUAUUAAGUCAGUGGUGAAAUCCCGGGGCUCAACUCCGGAACUGCCAUUGAUACUGAUAGUCUUGAGUUUGGUUGAAGUGGGCGGAAUGUAGCAUGUAGCGGUGAAAUGCAUAGAUAUGCUACAGAACACCAAUCGCGAAGGCAGCUCACUAAGCCAAAACUGACGCUCAUGCACGAAAGCGUGGGGAUCAAACAGGAUUAGAUACCCGGGUAGUC
rnacentral:rRNA from 1 species